rnacentral:misc_RNA from 1 species
UACUUUAUAAUUCUUCCUGACGUCACGAGAUUCACUUUGCAAAAUCCUCAGCUGCUCCUCCAGUUGAGCUAGCUUAACUGCUUCUUAGUUAAUGAUCAUAGAUCUUGCCAUCUUGUGACUGAAGAAUUGGAUUGCAACCCUUGCCCACUUGAAAUUAGUGCUUUGAUGCCAAAUGUUAGGAAUUGAAUCCCUAACAAUGCAGAAAUAGAGAAAUAGAAGAUAUAGAAAGAACUUGAGAGUGGAAAGAGAGAAUAGAGACUGAAAGAGAGAAUUUAGAGAGAAAUCAGAAAGAAUGAGAGAUGUUAUUG